GCCAGAGGAAAGCCAGCCCUGCCCGCCGGCCUCCGCGUCGCGGGCGGCUCGCUCCGAGGUGCACGGAGCCUGCCUUUCGCCCGAGGGAUUGCUUUAGGGGCCCCUGUAGAGACGCAGGAACAUCUGUGUCAUCUUUCCUGUCAUGAUGCAGGUGGGCACCAUUAAGCAUAAAAAGAAGAGAGCCAGAUCAUAGCAGAGAUUAUGGUGAUCCACAAUGUAUUAUAAGGAAUAGAAGUGAAGAAAGAAGAUCAGGCUUAAAAAGGAUUUAGUUUGGCAUAGCAGCAGGUACUCAGGAAUGUAAGG